UACGUAGGUGGCAAGCGUUAUCCGGAAUUACUGGGCGUAAAGCGCACGCAGGCGGCUUGGUAAGUUUGACGUGAAAGCUCCUGGCUUAACCGGGAGAGGUCGUUGAAGACUGCCGGGCUUGAGGCGAUGAGAGGGGUGCGGAAUUCCCGGUGUAGUGGUGGAAUGCGUAGAUAUCGGGAGGAACACCAGUGGCGAAAGCGGCACCCUGGCAUCGGCCUGACGCUCAUGUGCGAAGGCGUGGGGAGCGAACGGG
rnacentral:misc_RNA from 1 species